AUGUUUUUUAUUGUCGCCAUGUGUUUUAUUUGUUUGUUGCAUUCAUCAUCACAUCAUCCGCAUUACAUCGGCACUCAUUGCUGUCAUUGUUUUUUAAAGUUGCAUCCGUUCGUGGUUGCCGCCUCUUCUUUGUCUCUGUUGUCCUUCUCUCAGACCAACCGGACCGCUCUCUUCUCUCUUGUCUUCUCCGUGACCUUUUGUCAGACCAUGUUGUCUUCGAUUUCCCCUCUCGUCUAUAUGUCCAUCCUCUCUGCACAUUUCAUCGACCCCUUGCGUGCGUCCGAAACUCCACCGGACUCGAACCGGGUUGUCGUCACCGAUGGGUCCGGAUCAUCCCCAAACAUCCCUAAAAUAUCUUCGGUUUCUCAUUUGAACUUCCCUACCUAUUUAUUCUCGACCAUCGAAUUUCGAUCGGAUGAUCCAAACUUCUCUUCUCUUCCUAUUUAUAGACCAACCCCUAUUCAAAUGAGACCAAACCCUAUUUUCUAG
rnacentral:rRNA from 1 species